CAGAGAUGCCAUGGAGCCACCGCUGGAGAUAGAAGUGCUGAAACUUUGCUGGACAUGACAGUGAGACACGUCUGCUCCUGGCAGCAACAAUUACUUCAAGAGGAAGAUGGGCAUCAAAGAGGCUCCUUAUGGUGUUGGUUAGACAUUUGGGCAAGAAACUGCUCUUGCCUGGACUGCUUCAUGAACUGGACAUGCAGGAUCCGCAGAGAAAUGACUGCUGAAUUUGCCUAAAGGGUUACUGAACUUUAGCUAUGGAGAUACACACCUGCCACUCCGAUUAUACUGGACAGUGAAGAUCAAGCCUGCCCCAUUCAACAUGAAAUAGUCUAAUGAUAGCACCACCCCACCCUUUCCAAUCCCUGACUGUUUAUCAGUAAUAAACAAAAGAGGAGGCCUGUGAGAGCAGGUCCGGUCCCCUAGGAGCUCCAGUUCUCCCCACAGAGCAGUGCAAUGGACAAAACCAACAUCCCCAGCCCCUGAGACACAGGCAUCCAAGCUCCGUCCUACAGAGCAAAUGCCCAAGCUCAGAACAUGAAAACCUUUGCCUCCCAGAAGCCCUAUAUAAAGCCUGUCUGCUGUCCAGUAUUUCUGUUUCUCUCCUAAGCAGAGGC